rnacentral:rRNA from 1 species
GACGAACGCUGGCGGCGUGCCUAAUACAUGCAAGUUGAGCGCUGAAGGUUGGUACUUGUACCGACUGGAUGAGCAGCGAACGGGUGAGUAACGCGUGGGGAAUCUGCCUUUGAGCGGGGGACAACAUUUGGAAACGAAUGCUAAUACCGCAUAAAAACUUUAAACACAAGUUUUAAAGUUUGAAAGAUGCAAUUGCAUCAACUCAAAGAUGAUCCCGCGUUGUAUUAGCUAGUUGG